rnacentral:rRNA from 1 species
UAUAAUUUAAAGUAGGGCCUGCCCACUGAAUUUUUAAAGGGCCGCAGUAUUUUGACUGUGCAAAGGUAGCAUAAUCAUUAGUUUUUUAAUUGAAAGCUUGUAUGAAUGGUUUGAUGAGAAAAUAGCUUUUUUUAUUUUAAUUUUUAAGAAUUUUAUUUUUAAGUUAAAAAGCUUAAAUUUUUAUAAUAGACGAGAAGACCCUAUAGAGUUUAAUUAUUAAUUAUUUUUAUAUUUUUAGAAUUUUAAUUUAUAAAUUUGAUUUAAUAAUUUAAUUGGGGUGAUUGAAAAAUUAAAUAAACUUUUUUUUUAUUUUUACAUUGAUGUAUG